UACAGAGGGUGCGAGCGUUAAUCGGAGUUACUGGGCGUAAAGCGUGCGUAGACGGUCAUGUAAGUCGGGUGUGAAAGCCCCGGGCUCAACCUGGGAAUUGCAUUCGAGACUGCAAGGCUAGGGUGCGGAAGAGGGAAGCGGAAUUUCCGGUGUAGCGGUGAAAUGCGUAGAUAUCGGAAGGAACAUCAGUGGCGAAAGCGGCUUCCUGGUCCAGCACCGACGUUCAGGCACGAAAGCGUGGGGAGCAAUCAGG
rnacentral:rRNA from 1 species